GGGCCCGCACAAGCGGUGGAGCAUGUGGUUUAAUUCGAUGAUACGCGAGGAACCUUACCAGGGCUUAAAUGUAGUGGGACAGGUCUAGAGAUAGACCCUUCUUCGGACUCAUUACAAGGUGCUGCAUGGUUGUCGUCAGCUCGUGCCGUGAGGUGUCAGGUUAAGUCCUAUAACGAGCGCAACCCCUAUCGUUAGUUGCCAGCGAGUAAUGUCGGGAACUCUAACGAAACUGCCAGUGCAAACUGUGAGGAAGGUGGGGAUGACGUCAAAUCAUCACGGCCCUUACGUCCUGGGCUACACACGUGCUACAAUGGCCGGUACAGAGAGCAGCCACUUCGCAAGAAGGAGCCAAUCCGACAAACCUAGUCGUAGUCCGGAUCGGAGUCUGCAACUCGACUCCGUGAAGUCGGAAUU
rnacentral:rRNA from 1 species